GAUGAACGCUGGCGGCGUGCCUAAUACAUGCAAGUCGAGCGAACAGACGAGAAGCUUGCUCUCCUGACGUUAGCGGCGGACGGGUGAGUAACACGUGGAUAACCUACUUCUAAGUCUGGGAUAACUUCGGGAAACCGGAGCCAAUACUGGAUAAUAUAUUCAACCGCUUGGUUCAAUAGUGAAUGACGGUUUUGCUGUCACUUAUAGAUGAAUCCGCGCCGCAUUAGCUAGUUGGUAAGGUAACGGCUUACCAAGGCGACGAUGCGUAGCCGACCUGAGAGGAUGAUCAGCCACACUGGAACUGAGACACGGUCCAGACUCCUACGGGAGGCAGCAGUAGGGAAUCUUCCGCAAUGGGCGAAAGCCUGACGGAGCAACGCCGCGUGAGUGAUGAAGGUCUUCGGAUCGUAAAGCUCUGUUAUUAGGGAAGAACAAAAGUGUAAGUAACUAUGCACGUCUUGACGGUACCUAAUCAGAAAGCCACGGCUAACUACGUG
rnacentral:rRNA from 1 species